rfam:Neocallimastix californiae strain G1 LY90scaffold_10, whole genome shotgun sequence.
AUACUUACCUGGCGAGGGUCAUUUGUGAUCAAGAAGGCAAAUGACACGAUUGGGAAAUUUAACAUUGCACAUCGUUAAGUGGCCUGAUUGCGAACAUUCAUAUGAAUGUCUCGGUCGCAUAAUUUUUGAUAGUGGGGUGUACAGGCGUUCGCGCCAGUAGACCCUU